AUUGAACGCUGGCGGCAUGCUCUACACAUGCAAGUCGAACGGCAGCGCGGGCUUCGGCCUGGCGGCGAGUGGCGAACGGGUGAGUAAUGCAUCGGAACGUGCCCAGUAGUGGGGGAUAGCCCGGCGAAAGCCGGAUUAAUACCGCAUACGACCUGAGGGGGAAAGCGGGGGACCGAAAGGCCUCGCGCUAUUGGAGCGGCCGAUGUCGGAUUAGCUAGUUGGUGGGGUAAAGGCUUACCAAGGCGACGAUCCGUAGCUGGUCUGAGAGGACGACCAGCCACACUGGGACUGAGACACGGCCCAGACUCCUACGGGAGGCAGCAGUGGGGAAUUUUGGACAAAGGGGGCAACCCUGAUCCAGCCAUGCCGCGUGCGGGAAGAAGGCCUUCGGGUUGUAAACCGCUUUUGUUCGGGAAGAAAUCCUCUGGGCUAAUACCCCGGGGGGAUGACGGUACCGGAAGAAUAAGCACCGGCUAACUACGUG
rnacentral:rRNA from 1 species